GAGUAAAUAGCUAAUUUAAGUUUAUUAGUUACAUUAAUGGGAUACCGUAGGUUUUACUUU
rnacentral:tRNA from 1 species